CUAAGCAUAUCAAUAAGCGGAGGAAAAGAAACUAACAAGGAUUCCCCUAGUAACUGCGAGUGAAGCGGGAAAAGCUCAAAUUUAAAAUCUGUCAGUCUUUGGCUGUCCGAGUUGUAAUCUAGAGAAGUGUUAUCCGCGCUGGACCGUGUACAAGUCUCCUGGAAUGGAGCGUCAUAGAGGGUGAGAAUCCCGUCUUUGACACGGACUGCCAGGGCUUUGUGAUGCGCUCUCAAAGAGUCGAGUUGUUUGGGAAUGCAGCUCAAAAUGGGUGGUAAAUUCCAUCUAAAGCUAAAUAUUGGCGAGAGACCGAUAGCGAACAAGUACCGUGAGGGAAAGAUGAAAAGAACUUUGGAAAGAGAGUUAAACAGUACGUGAAAUUGCUGAAAGGGAAACGCUUGAAGUCAGUCGCGUUGACCAGGGAUCAACCCUUGCUUUUGCUUGGUGUACUUUCUGGUUGACGGGUCAGCAUCAAUUUUGACUAUUGGAAAAAGAUCAGGGGAAUGUGGCAUCUUUGGAUGUGUUAUAGCCUCUGGUUGUAUACAAUGGUUGGGAUUGAGGAACUCAGCACGCGCCGCAAGGCCGGGUUUUUAACCACGUACGUGCUUAGGAUGCUGGCAUAAUGGCUUUAAUCGACCCGUCUUGAAACACGGACCAAGGAGUCUAACAUGCCUGCAAGUGUUUGGGUGGAAAACCCGAGCGCGUAAUGAAAGUGAAAGUUGAGAUCCCUGUCGUGGGGAGCAUCGACGCCCGGACCAGAUCUUUUGUGACGGUUCCGCGGUAGAGCAUGUAUGUUGGGACCCGAAAGAUGGUGAACUAUGCCUGAAUAGGGUGAAGCCAGAGGAAACUCUGGUGGAGGCUCGUAGCGAUUCUGACGUGCAAAUCGAUCGUCAAAUUUGGGUAUAGGGGCGAAAGACUAAUCGAACCAUCUAGUAGCUGGUUCCUGCCGA
rnacentral:rRNA from 1 species